GCCGGAGUGGUGAAACGGUAGACACCGGGGACUUAAAAUCCCCUGGUCCGCAUGGACCGUACCGGUUCGAAUCCGGUCUCCGGCA
rnacentral:tRNA from 1 species